rnacentral:rRNA from 1 species
CAGCACCUCAAGUGGUCAGGAUGAUUAUUGGGCCUAAAGCAUCCGUAGCCGGCGCUGUAAGUUUUCGGUUAAAUCGGUACGCUCAACGUACAGGCUGCCGGGAAUACUGCAGCGCUAGGGAGUGGGAGAGGUAGACGGUACUCGGUAGGAAGGGGUAAAAUCCUUUGAUCUAUUGAUGACCACCUGUGGCGAAGGCGGUCUACCAGAACACGUCCGACGGUGAGGGAUGAAAGCUGGGGGAGCAAACCGGAUUAGAUACCCGAGUAGUCC